GUUGGUGGUAGUGUCUGUAGGUAAGGUAACUCUGAUAUGAUGUCAGAAUAUCUGGGAUAGCCCUGUGUUGGUGGUAGUGUCUGUAGGUAACUCUGAUAUGAUGUCAGAAUAUCUGGGAUUGCCCUGUGUUGGUGGUAGUGUCUGUAGGUAACUCUGAUAUGAUGUCAGAAUAUCUGGGAUUGCCCUGUGUUGGUGGUAGUGUCUGUAGGUAAGGUAACUCUGAUAUGAUGUCAGAAUAUCUGGGAUAGCCCUGUGUUGGUGGUAGUGUCUGUAGGUAAGGUAACUCUGAUAUGAUGUCAGAAUAUCUGGGAUAGCCCUGUGUUGGUGGUAGUGUCUGUAGGUAACUCUGAUAUGAUGUCAGAAUAUCUGGGAUAGCCCUGUGUUGGUGGUAGUGUCUGUAGGUAAGGUAACUCUGAUAUGAUGUCAGAAUAUCUGGGAUAGCCCUGUGUUGGUGGUAGUGUCUGUAGGUAAGGUAACUCUGAUAUGAUGUCAGGAUAUCUGGGAUAGCCCUGUG